CCUGGACACCAAUCGCUUUCGCCCUCAAGCCCCGUGUUCUCCUCGAGUUCCCCUUCGCCUCUCACCUCCUUCAUCCACGGCCGGUCGUGAGAGAGAGCCGGCGGAAGCAGGGGCCAGAUCAAGAAGGAGGGUGUUGGCGACCUAGGUGCAGGCCGCCGGCGUGGGUCUGGCGGGCGUGGCGGCCGGUGGGGUUCUGGCGGGCUUGGCGGCCGACGGCGAUCUGGCGGGCGUGGCUGGAGCUAGAAGGGCAGCAGUAGCCUGUGGGGUGGCCACCGGACCGACAGCGACUUCAAUGGAGGGGAACGGUCCGGCAGGCGCAUGCAGGCGGGAGAAACUGGGGGCGCUCGUCGGUUGGGAAGAUGGCGACCACUUGAGCUUCUCGAUCUGGACAGGGCCACUACAGCACAAGCAAGGGGUGGGCGCGAGCAACUCUAUGGAGCCACACACGUCUACAGCCCAUACAUAGAUGACAGGCCUGCAAGGAAAGGAGCAGAAGAAAACAUGCUUGGCUGUUUGUUUCCAGGAAGUAACGAUCAAAGAAGAAGAGUUAGAUGCUGCUUUGAUGGUAAACAUAUGCUUUAUUCUGGGAAGCAUAUGUUCUUGGUGCUUAAUAGCUUUGCAUUAACCUUCAAGGUUUGCCUUCCCAAUUUUAUCUCAUCGUCUUUGAUCCAGUUAGUGCCCAGCUUCUUCUGCUCUUGGUGAAAUAUCAAUAGAUGGAAGUCAGCCUAGGCAUAUGUGUACUAAUUUAGGAUAUUUCGAGUUUGGGGUUAGUUCAUAGUAGAGCUUGCUUUGCACUAUGUAUCUACCCGCCUUCAACACUAUGGUCUGUCUGCUGGGAUGUUUUGACAAGCACACUAUACUCCCCUGGGAAGUUUUUUUGCUCUGCUUUGAGGGCAUGUUGAAUUCUGAGUGACUUCAUUGAGCAUAUCAGGAGAUUGAUAGAUAGUGCGAGAGCUGGUAAGAUUAUUAGGAAGUUAAAUAAUUUUACAGCAUUAAUCUGAAUCUCAUACUCACACAUGAAUGGUGUCGGUUCCUAACAUUUAGCAUUUCUACGAUUUGCCCUUUUUAACUAUAUCCAAAAUGCAGAGAAGCGAGUUUUAUUUUCCAGGAGCUCUUAUGUUGCAGCUGAUACUAUUUUAUUCCCUUCAUCAUUUAUGAGGUCAGUACUAAUUUCACUUCCUCCCUCUUCUAUGAUUAAUCCACCAUGCCGAUAUGCUUCAUGACGACCAUGCUUUUGCCAUCCCUCACCCUCUCAGGUUAGAAUUACCCCCCUCUCAUUUGCUCAUGUGUGUCUGCUCAGUUUGAUAAAAAAAUGUCUACUAAGAAAAAUUUCUAAUGUAUAUUUCACUCAACAACAAAGAAUGUGCCUAAUGUGUGUGAUGACCUAAAAAAAUGUGUGUGUGUGUUUGCUCAAAGAACAAUAUAUGCUCAUGUGUGUCAGUCAGCAAUUGCCCUGUUAUCUGAAACCUAAUGCUAAACUGGACACCAACUAAUGCAGAUAAAUCGAGAGCAACACCAGCCUAAACUUCAUCUGAUCUCGAAAAAAGGGAAUAUAAACCAGCUAGACCAUCUACCCAGGCCAUCAUCUUCUUAUUUUUCACGCCUUGGAUAGUAUAUCUUGAAAUGGUACUGUUCAUGCCAAAUUUAUUUAUUUAUUUUAACCUUAUGGAUGCAAAUAUUUUUUGAUAUAUUAGUGGUCAAAGUUAUAAUGUUUAAUUAAUACAUCUAGCGCUGAUACAUAUUCACCACAUAUGAAUUACUUAUUUGACUGUUUAGCUAAAUGCAUUGUUGUUUGCAUUUUGAGAAGGGUGAUGUUCUGAUUUGUGCUGAUAUUCAUCUUUCUUUCUUUCUAAAGAUAUUCGAGAAAGAAGAUAGUAGGACAAGGCUAAAGGGGAACUAUGGUUAAAAGCUUUCUUUCUUUUGUUGUGACCUGUCUUACCUGGUUCUGCUUGAUAUGUUACUAAGCCGGGAUCAUGUAGUAACUAUAUUUAAUUAAAAUUUAGGUCAGUGGGAGCCUCUCCCACUGUCUUUCACUGGUCAAAAAAAGCUUGGAUCGUGUAAUCUUCUAACCUUCACUAAUCUUUCAUGCAUAAGCAGAGUUGCGUCCACAGUGGAGGCGCAAAUCAAGAAGGUUGACUGAGGAGAUGAGGUUGGGUGCCGAGCACAUGGCAGGAUGAAGGUGCAGGCCUGUGUUUUUUUGGAUGGCAGCGGCAUACUACUUCAAUGAAUAAGAUAUCAUGCCUUUGUUUUUUUGCUCUGCUUUGCUUUUUAAAAGAAAUAUAAAUAAGAUAUCAUAAACUGAUAUCAUGCCUUUGUUUUGGCCUAUAAACCUACCAUACAAUGUAAUAUAUAAUGCUAUGUAUGAUCAUCAUACACAAAUAUCUAUUUCCUUGUGUUUCAGAGAUUCUAUGAUCGGUCUAUAAAUAUUGUUACUUGCAUGGUUUGAGUGUUUGGUUCACUCUCGCCUUUUGCGCCAUUGGCAUAAUAGGUAUUCUCAUGAAACUUUGUUAUCCCUUGAUUAUAAAAGUCAAAUCGAGUUUAUAUCCAUAUUUGUUUCUCGAUUAUUCAUCCUUCAGUUGGAUUAAAGUUUUUCUAUUGUUUGCAAGUGAAACUUACUUGAUGUACCUUUGGUAUGCUGAUAUAUAAUAACUCGAUGUACCUUUGGUAUGCUGAUAUCUGAUAGCAAAGUAAUUCAGAAUGCAGGUACUCCCCCUCUCCCCUUUGUGCCCUCUCUCUUCUCCAACCCCUCUUUCCUGUUACACACAACCAUUGGGGCAGCAUACCAUAUGAAUCCAAAGUUAAUCACGUGCUUCUUGCCCCUCUCUCUCUCUCCCUCUCUUCACAUGUACUCUCGUGGAUUUAGUCAGAUUUGAUUUAUUCUUGUUUCCUUUCCAGAUUUAAUUUCAUCCUUGUUUCCAAGCUCUUCCUAUUCAUAAUCUAUUAAUUAAUGACUUGUACAUACGUAUUUUAUCAUGUCUACUAAUAAUCUCAUCACAUUACAGUUCAUACAUCAGUUUAUUUUAUCUUGUUUCCUUCAAGUACGUAUUUAGGCUGUUCAUUUUCCCUUUUUCAGAUGUAUGCCAUGUAUGUGUAGCCAUGGUUCUGAAACACCACCAUUCCUUCUCUUCCUAUCAAUUUUCUUUGAUUCAGUUAUUUGACUAAAUGAUAAUAUAUGCCCCAGGGUUAAUUAGUACCUAAAAUGCUACCUUUGGUUUGUGAAAAAGAUCUAGAGUGGCUUCUGCAGCUCCUGUUAUGUUUCAUUGAUUCAGUCAUGUAGUAGGAUAGUUCCACUGAAUUUUACUAAAUGGUUUUGUAGCUUUACUUAGUGAAAAUGCCUCAAUUGGUUUCUGCAACAUUGCUUGUCUGUUGGCAGCUGGAGCAUACUUGGUACAUGAGCCUUGCCGUGAAUGGUGGUGCAACGGUGACCUCGACGAGCAGGGCAAUGGCCAGACACGAGUAAGGCACCAAAGAUGACUGGAAGCACUCAAAAAAGUUUACCACGCUGGAGCUAUGUCAGGUUGUACGAGGGCAGUUAAUGAAUAUACUUGCGACCCUUUUACUCUCAGAUGUACCUAGGAGAAAUGCAGAAUUAAGAAGAGCUAUUUUCAGAACACCACUAUAUAUAUGCGGAACUCAGACUCUUUUUGAAGAUGGAUGGAUGAACUUGAUCCCUGUCCAUCUCUGCUUUUUGUCGACUCUCCUCCUUUUCUCGCUGCUGAACCCCUGCCACCAUCAUGUCCAGACUGGCUGUCUCCAUGGUUGUGGCGCCAAGGUCACCGCAUCUUACAUCCUGAUGCAUGUUGAAGCAUGAGGCUGGAAUACAAGGUGUGUUAGGUUGAAGCAUGAGGCUGGAAUGGGUCUUGUGCGAGGACUAGCGUUUGCUAUAGUCAAACCAAAAUACUUCUAAAAUUGCAGCUGCACUUGUUGGUCUGAUGUACAUGAGAAGCCCCAAUUUUGUUGGCAAUAGAUGCAUGGUUUCUCAGUAAUUAAAAUAACUUAAUUUUUUAUAUAAUGUAUGGUAGUCAUGUGUCUGAUGUUCUUCGUGUAUCGGUACGGUUCCCAUGUUUGAUGUUUUUUACUUUCGCAAAAUUGGUCGAUGCUGAUGAGAAUGGCACCGGUGGUCUUUGACAAUUAUAUUUUUUAUGUAUAUAAUGUUCCCAAUUUUAUUGUUUUA